CCAACGGUCCUCUUAAGGGCCACAAAUAUACACAAAUCCAGUAUAU
rfam:Caenorhabditis briggsae complete genome, chrV